GUCAGUGUGGCCGAGUGGUUAAGGCGAUAGACUAGAAUGGAUUCCUCAUCUAUCUCAUCUAUUGGGUUCGCCCGCACAGGUUCGAGUCCUGUCGCUGACG
rnacentral:tRNA from 1 species